rnacentral:lncRNA from 1 species
GUUCAACUACGGUGCUCAAUACAUGUAAACAGUUGUAUAUGUAAUGCUGCAGACAUAUUUGGCCCUGAUGACCCUCAGUCGGUGUGACAUUUGACCGAUCAAUGCAUUGGGACUGUAUAGACUCUGGAGCAACUAGCCCAUACGGAAAAAAUACAUGUAAGGCCUGACAACAUUCCAGAAAUGCAUGGCUAUGACAUCUACUCUACAGGUUGGCCAAAGUGGUUCCUAAUUCGGCUUCUUAAAUUACUCUUUACGUAUUGAUCAAUGGAGACACAUUUUUUUUGGGAUCACCAAGCCAAAACGUUGGCGGUGAUAUAAUUACAAUUGUGUUGGACCAUGCCUCAGGACUACCUGGCUUGAUGACUCCUUGCUGUCCCCAGUCCACCUUGUCAUGCUGCUGCUCCAGUUUCAACUGUUCUGCCUGCGGCUAUGGAACCCUGACCUGUUCACUGGACAUGCUACCUUGUCCCGGACCUGCUGUUUUGAACUCUCUCUCUACCGCACCGGCUGUCUCUAAUGAUCGGCUAUGAAAAGCCAACUAACAUUUACUCCUGAGGUGCUGACCUGUUGCACCCUCUACAACCACUGUGAUCAUUAAUAUCUCACCCUACUGAUCAUCUAUAAACAUUUUAACAUCUUGGCCAUGUUCUGUUAUAAUCUCCACCCGGCACAGCCAGAAGAGGACUGGCCACCCCUCAGAACCUGGUUCCUCUCUACGUUUCUUCCUAGGUCCUGACCUUUCUAGGGAGUUUUUCCUAGCCACCGUGCUUCUACAUCUGCAUUGCUUGCUGUUUGGGUUUUAGGCUGGGCUUCUGUACAGCACUUUGUGACAUCGGCUGAUGUAAAAAGGGCUUUAUAAAUCAAUUUGAUUGAUUGAUAGUUAAAACUAGUUAAAAGCUUGUUUUGCGCAACAGGGAAGGGCAAUUGAAUACAAGAUUCACAUUUAAAAACAUGUAUUGUUAAAACAUUUCUAGCCUGUCUAUCUAUGGGUAACAGGGUUUAACGUGUUAUGCUCGACCCGCUCAGUUUUUCACCAAGAAACACCAGAAAAUUGCCAAAAAGAUUAUCACCAGCUCACCUGCUUUGACACUAUGAUUUGAGAAUUAAAAUCUUCCCAGAAGUCACAGAGGGUGCAUGGAAGGACAUGUCAAAAAUGCUAAGUCUUUAUUCAUAUUGAAAAUCAAAUUUAUUUAAUUCUCCAUGUGUUCUAUAUUAAAGGGCACUUUAUUUCAUAUAACAGGCUUUCAAAAAUGCAAUAUUGUUGCAUAAUUUCUACUUAACAUAUCAAACGGAAUGCAAAAGGCACUCAUUUCGUGGAACAACCCAGUACACGUUACGUUUUGCCCGUUGGACAUUGGUUGCAAUGCUGUCGUCAAGUUAGUAGUUAUUUGUAAUAUGCACAUGAAAGCCAUGGAGUCACUACAUGAGUGAUAAUGUAUCAUGUUUUUAGUCUUUUUUUAUGCAUGUUAGUGCUUUUAGUAUGUGUCAAGUCAACAAAAUAUAUUGUAGCGGAGGCAGCCUAUUAGAGUACUUGGAAUUGUUGGUUGUGGGGUGUGUGGCUUUGUCUUAGUGCUUUUUGGCCUCCCAUGACACAAAUUGUCACGUCAUCUGUUAUGUUGUGUUCUGUUAAAAGUCAAGGUUGAACACUGCCAAUUCUGUAGUCUUAAUGAGACUGACAUAAGUGCAUGUGAUACCAAAGAGCCUACUAGUUUCAUUGGUAAGACAAUCACCAUUUGUUACAGUAUGAUUUGCACAACAUUUUAAUUAUUGUAUUUUAUUUUUGACAAUUUUAAAUACAUUCACUUUACACCUGGCAACAGAUACGUACACCAAAAACUGUUGAGGAUAUAAACACAAUAAAGCCAUAGGACUUGUUCCCAUUUCCAUAACAAUAUAAAAACAUAUAUAUUUUUUUUCAGAGGAUUCCUAAAAAACAGCACAUUGAACUAUCUACACUGUGGGACUUCCUUUUCGAUCUAAUUGAGUUCCUACUUUCUACUUUAUGAUGCUGUUGUUGACUGCCACCGCAUGCCAGUUUGUGACCCAGACCUAAUAUACUUCCCUUGUCAGUUACAGACAGAUACUCAACGUUGUUCAUUACUACACCUACAAGACAGUGGUGGACCAAGGACGGUGUGUAGGACGUCAAAACUUGCUUACACAGCCAGGGUCACAGACCAUCACAUUGACGAUACCAAAAUAAGCACACACCUGUGCAAGCCCUCAAACACAAGGGUGGUUAGGCUACUGUAUCACAGGUCAUCGUGUGUUAUAUAAAACCAAUACUAACGUCUCAACUUCUUCUGUUCUAUCCGAAGGGCCAAAUACAGACCAAAGCUUGUGGGUUAGCAAAGCCUUGGUAAUAGCAAUUGUGUAAACUGGUCUCAAAUUUGGGUGAAGGCGCAACAGUUGUCAGUUGCAUGAUUUAUUUUGUUUCAUGAUUUACGUCACAGUAGGGAAUUGGAAUGACUGUCUCAACAACCAGAGACCUCUGAGCUUGCAGGCAUCUGAUCGGCAGCCUUCCAGUUUUAUCUGACCGGCCCUCAGCUGCCUCAGCUGACCAGCAGCAACACAUGUCCCCCUGUCCUCCUCUCGGUUUAUCUGGGAUUAACCCUGACACACACACACUAACACCAGCAUGCGCGCACAAGCACCAAAAAACAUCUGCUUAUCACCCAGUCAAGAAUUAUUUGAGUCAACCGAAUGAGGUUGUAGUUUUAUGCGCAAACAAGGCAGUGCUACAUGGUUUCAUGACACUAUUGUUAGGCUGUGUAUGAACACUUG